rnacentral:rRNA from 1 species
UCGGGAAUUUUGGGCAAUGGGCGAAAGCCUGACCCAGCAACGCCGCGUGAAGGAUGAAAUCCUUCGGGAUGUAAACUUCGCAAGAACGGGAAGACUAAGUAAGAGUUAAUAUCUCUUACGAUGACGGUACUGUUUGUAAGCUCCGGCUAACUCCGUGCCAGCAGCCGCGGUAAUACGGGGGGAGCAAGCGUUGUUCGGAAUUACUGGGCGUAAAGGGCGCGUAGGCGGCCUUCUAAGUCGAACGUGAAAUCCCCGGGCUCAACCCGGGAACUGCGUCCGAUACUGGGAGGCUUGAAUCCGGGAGAGGGAUGUGGAAUUCCAGGUGUAGCGGUGAAAUGCGUAGAUAUCUGGAGGAACACCGGUGGCGAAGGCGGCAUCCUGGACCGGUAUUGACGCUGAGGCGCGAAAGCCAGGGGAGCAAAC